GCCUACGGGGCGCAGCAGUAGGGAAUUUUCGUCAAUGGGCGCAAGCCUGAACGAGCAAUGCCGCGUGAACGAGGAAGGUCUUCGGAUCGUGAAGUUCUGUUGAAGGGGAAAAAGAGCGGAGAGGGGAAAUGGUCUCCGAUUGAUAUUACCCUUCGAGGAAGUCACGGCUAACUACGUGCCAGCAGCCGCGGUAAUACGUAGGUGGCGAGCGUUAUCCGGAAUGAUUGGGCGUAAAGGGUGCGUAGGCGGCCUGCUAAGUCUGGAGUGAAAGGUACCGGCUCAACCGGUACAGGCUCUGGAAACUG
rnacentral:rRNA from 1 species